rnacentral:tRNA from 1 species
GCCGCGGUGGUGAAAUGGUAUACACGGAGGCCUUAAGAGCCUUUGUCGGAAACGACGUGAGAGUUCGACUCUCUCCCGCGGCA